UUCAAGGAACAAAACUUUAUUGGUGGAGGAAAGGUUGAGAUGGAGUUAUUAUUUAAAGGGUAUAGGGACUUAGUUGUGUAAAAUGAAGAGUUCUAGAGAUGGAUAGUGGUGAUGGUUGCAUAAUACCACUGAAUUGAACACUUGAAAAUAGUUUAAAGUGUGAUACAUGUACACACGCAAACACAUAUAAUGGAAUGUUAUUCAGUCAUAAAAAAAGAGAAAAUCCUGCCAUUUACAAUAACAUGGAGGGAUCUUGCAGGUAUUAUGCUAAGUAAAAUAAUUUAGACAGAGAAAGACACUGCAUGAUCUCACCUAUGUGUCCAAAAAAAAAAAAAAACUGAACUCAUAAGUCAGAGAAUAGAUUGGGGGUUGCCAAAGGCAGGAAGGGGGGCAAAAUGGGUGAAAGUGGGCAAAAUGUAUAAACUUCCAACAUGUACAGCAUGGGGACUAUAGUUAACAAUAUCGUUAAGUUUAUGUUUAUGUUAUGUUUAAGUUUAUGUGAAAGUUGCUAAGAGAGUAGAUCUUCAAAGUUCCCAUGACAAGGAAAAAAAAGUAGGCAUUCCCAUCAUGGUGCAGCAGAAACGAAUCUGACUAGGAACCAUGAGGUUGCAGGUUAGAUCCCUAGCCUCGCUCAGUGGGUUGAGGAUCCAGCAUUGCUGUGGCUGUGGCGUAGGCUGGCAGCAACAGUUCCAAUUAGACCCCUAGCAUGGGAACCUCCGUAUGUCAUGAGUGCAACCCUAAAAAGACAAAAAAUAAAAUAAAAACUGUAACUAUGUGAGGUGAUGAACGUUAACUGGAUUUACUAUUGUGAUGACUUUGCAAUAUAUACAAAUAUCAAAUCAUUAUGUUGUGAACACACCUGAAACUAAUUUGAAGUUACAGGUCAACUACAUCUCAAUUAUGAUGGUAAAUUUGAUAUUGUGUGUAGUUUACCACAAUUGAGAAAAAGACCUGGGGGGGUUGCCAUCCCCAGGAACAGGAAUAAGGGAAAAAUGGAGCCAAACCAGCAGAGGAGAGACAGAACAAAGAGGCCAGUGAUAUGGGGGGCUGGCUGCUCGAUCCUUCAGGAUUGUCUCAGGAACUUUAUGAAACAUGACGCAAGUUUGUCCAUUAGAGGGGCAGGGAAAAGCAAUAAACUCCAGGCUCCACCCUGCAGGUUGGACACAGAUUGCCCCACAAGGCAAUCUCCCCAACACGUCUAGGAUACACAUCAGUGGGAGACAAGUGAUUUCAUCGCCUGAGGCAACACAUAGUUGAGUUGCAUACGUGCAGCGGGUUAGAACCUCAAGAAAUUGAUUACAGCAUGGCGGCUAGAGAAAGAGACAGAUGAGGCCAUAGGGACCUGAAAUGAUGUCCAACACACAGCUGGAAUAUAGAAACAAAGGGAGACGGAACUACUCUUAGUAAUGCUCUAAUGCAAUACUAAGCAAUGCUCCAAUUUUGAAAUUUAUCAUUAAAUACACUACUGUACAACCUCUGAUCAUUUGCCUACCAUUUUUUACCAUAGCUAUAUACCACCUUUAUAAUCAAAUAUUGGAUAUUUUCUUUAAACUUUUGCCCUAAUUUCUGGCAGGUUAUUGAGAUAUAGUCUCUAUUCGGUAGAAUUCACUCUUUUAAGGUGUGCAGAUUGAUAACGUUUUGAUAAACAUAAUUGUGUAACCACCACCACCAUCAAGGUACACGUUUCGAUCAUUCCAGAAUUUCCCGUGGGGCCCUUUAUAGGUUAUGCCCACCUCCCUCACCAGAACCCUGGCAAUCAGAGAUUUCUGUCCCUGUAAAUCUGCCUUUUCAAGACUGUCCUUAAAGAAGGACUCAUACAUAUGUGAUCUUUUUUCUUACAUUUGUUUUAGAAAAAGUAAACUUAAUCUCAUUACUAUAAAGCAUGUAUACGAAUCAUUAUACACAUCCAAGCACACAUAAAAUUAUAACAAAAUAUACCACCUACACCAAUCAUAUUGUAAUACACCUUAAAGCACACACACAAUUAGAAGAAUUAAAAUGUACCACCUAUACCUUAUCUUCUACUAUCACAUGAAAAACAGCACAUGGAUUUGGCUGGGCCGGGAGUGACUAGUACGGGACCAGCACGCAGGUGUGAAAAGCACAGGCAAGCAUCAGCUGCCAAAGGCAGAGGUGGAACCGAGUCGACUGUGCAGACCAAGGGUGUUUGGGCAGGCAGGUGGGCAAUGAGAACCGAGGACUCAUGAAGAACUGACCCCUGGAAUUCCAGGCAAGUGUUUCCUGAUUCAGACCCUGGGUUUAUGGGCUAUGUACAGUCUCUGUGUGGACACUGGCCACAACAGAGGAGCACUCUGAAUUCAGAGCCUCUGGAACCCUAGGCUGGUAUUCAAGAGAAGGACUCAAACUUAGAGAGUAAGCUUGGCUUCCAGAUAAUUCAUUCACUCGUUCAAGACAUAUUUAUUGGCACCUACUCUGUGGGUGUUCAUAGCUCUGAGGGAUACUAAAGAGAAAAAAAGUCUCCACGCAGUUUACAUUCUGGACUAAACAGACAGAUAAUCAACCCAUGAGUAUAUAUAUGAUAUGACGGUGAUAAAUCCAAGGAAAGAAAAUAAAGCUGGCUCAGAGGACACAGGUUGUUCUCUCUUAACACAACGUGGUCAGAGUAGACUUUCCUCAGAAAGUGCUUUUAAACAGGGAGUUCCUGUCAUGGCGCAGUGGUUAACGAAUCCCACUAGGAACCAUGAGGUUGCAGGUUCAAUCCCUGGCCUUGCUCAGUGGGUUAAGGAUCUGGCGUUGCCGUGAGCUGUGGUGUGGGUCGCAGACGCGGCUCGGAUCCCACAUUGCUGUGGCUCUGCCGUAGGCCGGCGGCUACAGCUCCGAUUGAGACCCCUAGCCUUGAACCUCCAUAUGCCACGGGAGCAGCCCUAGAAAUAGCAAAAAGAAAAAAAAAAGAAGAAAAAUUGCUUUUAAGCAGAGACGUGAAGGAAGAAAUGUAACUGCUAAAUGCCCCUUCAAGGUUGAGGUCAGUCUAUCAGAACUUUCCACCAAACUCCUAAUUCAAACAAAAACUCAGUGUAAAUUAAGUGUAACCAAGAUAAUUCAAAACAUGCACAGAGGAAAAAUAAAUGCAGGUGUUUCUCUACUCUUCGCAAACUUAAAGGACUAUUUUGUUUUUUUCAUUGAAAAAGAUACAUGCACCCCUAUGUUCAUCGCAGUACUAUUCACCAUAGCCAAGACAUGGAAACAACCUAAAUAUCCAUGGACAGAUGAAAGGAUUAAGAAGAUGUGGUGGAGUUCCUGUCAUGGCGCAGUGGUUAAUGAAUCCGACUAGGAACCAUGAGGUUAUGGGUUCGAUCCCUGCCCUUGCUCAGUGGGUUAAGGAUCCGGAGUUGCCGUGAGCUGUGGUGUAGGUCGCAGACGCGGCUCGGAUCUCGCGUUGCUGUGGCCCUGGCGUAAGCCGACAGCUAUAGCUCUAAUUAGAGCCCUAGCCUAGGAACCUCUAUAUGCCACAGGAGUGGCCCUAGAAAAGGCAAAAAACAACAACAAAAAAAUAGAAGAUGUGUAAUUAUACACAAUGGAAUACUACUCAGUCAUUAAAAAGACAAACUAAUGCCAUUUGCAGCAACAUGGAUGGAACUAGAGAUUCUCAUAUGUGGAAUCUAAAUAUGGGCAGUUCAGGGUUUUGGGUACACACUGAUAUAUUUGGGGCCCUAUUGUAUAGCACAGUGGGCUGUUGUGUUCAGUGUUGCAUGGUUCAAUCAUGAUGUGCUAACUGGUUAUUGGCUUAAGGUUAAGACUAUCAAACUACUUAUGCACUCUCAGGCCUGAGUAGCUGGUCAUGAUCAGAAAGUCAUAGGCUUUCGGAGUCUCUGUUGUGGCAUGGCAGAAACAGAUCUGACUAGGAACCAUGAGGUUGCAGGUUCAAUCCUCUGGCCUUGCUCAGUAGGUUAAGGAUCCGGCGUGCCAUGAGCUGUGGUGUAGGUCACAGACUAGGCUCAGAUCUAGCAUUGCUAUCGCUGUGGUAUAGGCCGACAGCUACAGCUCUGAUCUAACCCCCUAUCCUGGGAACCUCCAUAAGCCACGGGUGCGGCCCUAAAAAGACAAAAUUAAAAAGAAAAAAAAGAGAGAGUCAUAGGCUUUUAAGACUUAACCUGGAAUUCCCUGGUGGUCUAGCAGUUAAGGAUCUGGCAUUGUCACUGCUGUGGCUUUAGCCACAUACCAAACAAGUCUUAACCUGUAUGGGAUGAAACCAAACAUCUCAAAGACAAACCCUGACCUGGUCUUCUGAUAAUGAGGCUCCAGGUGAGGUUGCCCUGGGAAGACUGCGGUGGCUUUUAUGUCUCUGGUGAGUGGUGAGGAUGUGGAAUAGUCAUUGGCAAACUAUAACCUACAGGCCAAAUUCUGCCCUAAGCCCCUUCACUGGAGCAGAGUCACACCCACUCACCCUUUCAUUUAUUUAUGUUAUCGUCUGUGGCGGCUUCUGCCCUUCAACCACAAAAUACCACAUUCUAGGUGGCUUAAACAAUAGAAAUUUAUUUGCUCACCGUUCUGGAGGCUCGAAGUCCAAGAUCAAGGUACCAGCAGGGGCGGUUUCUGCUGAGAGCUCUCUUUCUAACUUAUAGGCAACUGCCUUCUUGCUGUGGGUCCACAUGGACUUUGCUCAGUAUAUGCACAUGAAGAGGGAGAGAGAGACACGGAGCGAGGGAGAAAGAGAUUGUCUCUGGUAUCUACUUAUGGUACCUACUUAUAAGGGCACCUAAUCUUAUUGGACCAAGACCCAACUUUCAUGACCUCAUCUAAUUAUAAUUACUUCCCUGAGUCCCAGUCUCCAAAUACUCAUCACAUUGGGGGUUAGGGCUUCAGCACGUGAAUUUGAGGGGAUACAAACAUUCGCUACACAGCAGGCAGUAAUGUUUAAAAUGAAAACCAGUGUUUUAACGUCUCAUUUUAUGAGUUAGGAUUUUUUUUUUGAAAUCAACCCAUCCUCUGAAGAACUACAACAAACCACUUUCCAGAGUCGGCAGAGGAAGUAACAACUAUCUCUUUUCUCUCAGUUAAAAGGUUUUUUAGGAGUUCCUGUUGUGGCACAGCAGAAAAGAAUCCAACUAGUAACAAUGCGGUUGCGGGUUCGAUCCUUGCCCUUGCUCAGUGGUGGGUUAAGGAUCUGGCGUUGCUGUGAGCUGUGGUGUAGGUCCCAGACACAUCUUGGAUCCUGUGUUGCCAUGACUGUGGUUUAGGCCGGCAGUGAGAGCUCAGAUUCAACCCCUAGCCUGGGAACCUCUAGAUGCCACAAGUGAGGCCCUAAAAAAAGCAAAAAAAAAAAAAAAGUUUUUUUAUUAAAUGCAAGAGCAAAGGAGAUCUUCUAUUGCCUCUGGAAAAUCAUAAGUAAACAUGUGAUUCCCUCAGGGCAUAUAGCACUAGGGAGAUUAAAACUUGGAAUUCAAACCAACCUUCUUUACUUUGCCGGCUUUUCUUCUUCUUCCCCGCCCCGCCUGCAUCUCACUCUAGUCCCACAAUGUAAUUCUCUUUAUUUUUCAUCAAUAGGUUAAGUUGCAAGAAAUAGAAAAUCUAACUGAAAAAUGACAUAAUCAGACCUGUGAUGGAAGAUAAUAUGUAGUGUUUUCCUCCUGUUCCAAAAAGAGAAACAUCCACACUUGCGAUUGUGUUCAUCUAGCUGUCCUCCCAUUCUUCUCUUUUUUUUUAAAUUAAAAUAUAGUUGAUUUACAAUGUUGCCCCAAUUUCUGCUGUACGGUAAGGUGACUCAGACAUAUAUCCACAUUCUUUUUUAUAUAUUAUUUCCCCAUCUAUCCCUUAGAGCAAUUUAGAGAAAAUGGGUUAAAAAAAUCUGAGCAGGAGAUAAGGGGGCACUUGUGUUUGAACUGUACACCAUUUCUAAAUUCUCAUCUCAAGAACAAAUUAAGGCCAGAUGGGAAUAAUUUAAACUAUUUAUUUACAUCAUACUUUAAAACAGGGAGCCAGCUGGAACAAUGGCAGCUUGAGGUCAGCAUGUCCCCUAAUGUUCCUUUCCCAAGUAAUGUAACAACUUGAGCAGAGAAACCAAUGUGAAUUGCUAUAUCUCUUAGGAAGGUAAUCCGCCACUCUCCAUUCAAA
rnacentral:lncRNA from 1 species